rnacentral:rRNA from 1 species
ACAAACAGCUAGGAUGUUGGCUUAGAAGCAGCCAUACAUUUAAAGAGUGCGUAACAGCUCACUAGUCGAGUGAUUUUGCGCCGAAGAUAAACGGGGCUAAAACUUAUUACCGAAGCUUGGGAAUUUAAUAUAAAUUGGUAGAGGAGCGUCCUAUGUGGGUUGAAGUUGUGCCGUAAGGCAUGGUGGACUGCAUAGGAGUGAGAAUGUUGGCAUGAGUAGCGAGAGACAGGUGAGAAUCCUGUCGGCCGAAAAUCUAAGGUUUCCUGAGCAAGGUUCGUCCGCCCAGGGUUAGUCGGGACCUAAGCUGAGGGCGAAAGCCAUAGGCGAUGGACAACAGGUUGAUAUUCCUGUACCACCGAUAGUCGUUAAGAGUGAAGUGGGGACACAGAAGGAUAGGUUAAGCGUGCCGUUGGUAGAGCACGUACAAGCGUUAAGGUAGUUGCAGCAGGCAAAUCCACUGCAAUAAUACUGAGGCGUGAUGUGGAGGGAAAUUAAGUACCGGAAGUAACUGAUUUCAUGCUGUCAAGAAAAGCCGCUAGCAAGACUAAAGGUGCCCGUACCGCAAACCGACACAGGUAGAUGAGGAGAGAAUCCUAAGGCCAGCGAGAUAACUAUUGUUAAGGAACUCGGCAAAAUAACCCCGUAACUUUGGGAGAAGGGGUACCUACGCAAGUAGGUCGCAGUGAAUAGGCCCAGGCGACUGUUUAGCAAAAACACAGGUCUCUGCAAAAGCGAAAGCUGAAGUAUAGGGGCUGACGCCUGCCCGGUGCUGGAAGGUUAAGGGGACGUGUCAUCGCAAGAGAAGCACUGAACUUAAGCCCCAGUAAACGGCGGCCGUAACUAUAACGGUCCUAAGGUAGCGAAAUUCCUUGUCGGGUAAGUUCCGACCCGCACGAAAGGCGUAAUGAUCUGGGCACUGUCUCAACAAUAGACUCGGUGAAAUUGUAGUACCGGUAAAGAUGCCGGUUACCCGCAGCAGGACGGAAAGACCCCGUGGAGCUUUACUGUAGCUUGAUAUUGAGUUUCGGCGUUGCAUGUACAGGAUAGGUGGGAGACGUUGAAGCAAGUACGCCAGUAUUUGCGGAGUCAUCGUUGGGAUACCACCCUUGUAACGCUGGAAUUCUAACCAUGUACCGUAAUCCGGUGCUGAGACAGUGUCAGGUGGGCAGUUUGACUGGGGCGGUCGCCUCCUAAAGAGUAACGGAGGCGCCCAAAGGUUCCCUCAGCGCGGACGGAAAUCGCGCAUAGAGUGCAAAGGCAGAAGGGAGCUUGACUGCGAGACCAACAAGUCGAGCAGGGACGAAAGUCGGGCUUAGUGAUCCGGUGGUACCGAGUGGAAGGGCCAUCGCUCAACGGAUAAAAGCUACCCCGGGGAUAACAGGCUGAUACCCCCCAAGAGUUCACAUCGACGGGGGUGUUUGGCACCUCGAUGUCGGCUCGUCUCAUCCUGGGGCUGAAGUAGGUCCCAAGGGUUGGGCUGUUCGCCCAUUAAAGAGGUACGCGAGCUGGGUUCAGAACGUCGUGAGACAGUUCGGUCCCUAUCCGCUGUGGGCGUUGGAAAUUUGAGUGGAGCUGUCCUUAGUACGAGAGGACCGGGAUGGACAUACCUCUGGUGCACCAGUUGUUCUGCCAAGGGCAUAGCUGGGUAGCCACGUAUGGACGGGAUAAGCGCUGAAAGCAUCUAAGUGCGAAGCCCCCCACAAGAAUAGAUUUCCUCCUUUA